UUAUCUCUGUAGAGUCUGCAUAUCAAUAAGCGGAGGAAAAGAAACUAACAAGGAUUCCCUUAGUAACGGCGAGUGAAGCGGGAAGAGCUCAAAUUUGAAAUCUUCAAGGUUUUACCUUGACGAAUUGUAGUUUAAAGAAGUGUUUUCUGUUGAAGUUUUGGUAAAAGUUCUUUGGAAUAGGACAUCAUAGAGGGUGAGAAUCCCGUAUUUGACCAUUAUUUUCAGCUGUGUGAUACACUUUCAAAGAGUAGGAUUGUUUGGGAAUGCAGUCCAAAAUGGGUGGUAAAUUUCAUCUAAAGCUAAAUAUUGGCGAGAGACCGAUAGCGAACAAGUACCGUGAGGGAAAGAUGAAAAGAACUUUGAAAAGAGAGUUAAACAGUACGUGAAAUUGUCAAAAGGGAAGCGUUUGACACCAGUGUUGUUUUCUCGAAAAUCAAUUAAAAAAAGUUGGAUUUUGUGUUGUAUUGACCUUAACAGCUUUCUGCACUCUUUUCCUGCUUUUUUUAAUGCACUUUUCGUUUAACAAGUCAACAUCAGUUUCUUUUGUUGUAAAAGGGUCAUUGGAAGGUGGCUUUCUUUUCGGAGAAAGUGUUUAUAGCCUUUGAUCUCUGCAAUCGGAGAGAUUGAGGUCUGCAGCGUAGAUCCUUCGGGGCUAGAUACGUAGAUGCUAAGUUAUAGUUUUUUAUAGACAACUUGUUGACUAUAAUUAAUCAUGUAGCUUACUCGUUUGCGCUAUUUUACCUACGCUUAGGAUGUUGAUCUGUAGUGCGUGCGC
rnacentral:rRNA from 1 species